rnacentral:rRNA from 1 species
AGUGAACGCUGGCGGUAGGCCUAACACAUGCAAGUCGAACGGCAGCACAGUAAGAGCUUGCUCUUACGGGUGGCGAGUGGCGGACGGGUGAGGAAUACAUCGGAAUCCACUUUUUCGUGGGGGAUAACGUAGGGAAACUUACGCUAAUACCGCAUACGACCUACGGGUGAAAGCAGGGGAUCUUCGGACCUUGCGCGAUUGAAUUAGCCGAUGUCGGAUUAGCUAGUUGGCGGGGUAAAGGCCCACCAAGGCAACGAUCCGUAGCUGGUCUGAGCGGAUGAUCGGCCACACUGGAACUGAGACACGGUCCAGACUCCUACGGGAGGCAGCAGUAGGGAAUCUUGCGCAAUGGGCGAAAGCCUGACGGAGCAACGCCGCGUGAGUGAUGAAGGUCUUCGGAUCGUAAAACUCUGUUAUUAGGGAAGAACAAAUGUGUAAGAAACUAUGCAUGUCUUGACGGUACCUAAAGAGAAAGCCACGGCUAACUACGUG